rnacentral:rRNA from 1 species
CCUACGGGGGGCUGCAGUGGGGAAUAUUGCACAAUGGGCGCAAGCCUGAUGCAGCCAUGCCGCGUGUGUGAAGAAGGCCUUCGGGUUGUAAAGCACUUUCAGCGGGGAGGAAGGCGGUGAGGUUAAUAACCUCAUCGAUUGACGUUACCCGCAGAAGAAGCACCGGCUAACUCCGUGCCAGCAGCCGCGGUAAUACGGAGGGUGCAAGCGUUAAUCGGAACUACUGGGCGUAAAGCGCACGCAGGCGGUCUGUCAAGUCGGAUGUGAAAUCCCCGGGCUCAACCUGGGAACUGCAUUCGAAACUGGCAGGCUAGAGUCUUGUAGAGGGGGGUAGAAUUCCAGGUGUAGCGGUGAAAUGCGUAGAGAUCUGGAGGAAUACCGGUAGCGAAGGCGGCCCCCUGGACAAAGACUGACGCUCAGGUGCGAAAGCGUGGGGAGCAAACAGGAUUAGAUACCCUAGUAGUC